AGCUUUGCACAGUGGCAGUAUCAUAGCCGAUGAGGUUUAUCUGAGGCUAAUUGAAAACUUUUACCCGUGCCCCACCAUGACAACUUGCAAUAUAGUCAGCAAGGGCAAUUUUUGACGGUCUCUACAGAGA
ensembl:snRNA U4 U4 spliceosomal RNA